rnacentral:piRNA from 1 species
UUGCACUCACACUUCCAAUGUCCUCCUCAGU